rnacentral:snRNA from 1 species
GGAUGUGAGGGUGAUCUGGCUGCGACAUCUGUCACCCCAUUGAUGGCCAAGGUUGAUUGAGCUGAUCUGGCUGGCUGGGCAGGUGUCCCCUUCCUCCCUCACUGCUCCAUGUGCAUCCCUCCCAAAGCUGUGUGCCCAGUCCAAGAGGACAGACUUCACUGAAUAGAGCUGGACUGUCCUUUGGUUGAGGGUAUAUGAGUAGCUGUGCUCCCAUGCCAGAACCUCCCAGCAAGCUCUCAAGAAAGGGCCCAGAAACUGAAAAACAACACAGAGCAAAGGGAACCCAAACAAGGCAAGAGGGGGGAAACAACAAAACUU